UGGCUGAUAGCUCAGUUGGUAGAGCAGGCGGCUGUUAACCGCCCGGUCGCAGGUUCGAGUCCUGCUCAGCCAG
rnacentral:tRNA from 1 species